rnacentral:rRNA from 1 species
GGGGAAUAUUGCACAAUGGGCGGAAGCCUGAUGCAGCGACGCCGCGUGAGGGAUGACGGCCUUCGGGUUGUAAACCUCUUUCAGCAGGGACGAAGCGAAAGUGACGGUACCUGCAGAAGAAGCCCCGGCCAACUACGUGCCAGCAGCCGCGGUAACACGUAGGGGGCGAGCGUUGUCCGGAUUUAUUGGGCGUAAAGAGCUCGUAGGUGGUUCGGUAAGUCGGGUGUGAAACCUCCAGGCUCAACCUGGAGACGCCACCCGAUACUGCUGUGACUAGAGUCCAGUAGGGGAGCGUGGAAUUCCUGGUGUAGCGGUGAAAUGCGCAGAUAUCAGGAGGAACACCAGUGGCGAAGGCGGCGCUCUGGGCUGGAACUGACACUGAGGAGCGAAAGCGUGGGGAGCGAA